GUAGGGAGCAAGCGUUAUUCGGAUUUACUGGGCGUAAAGAGUGCGUAGGCGGUUGGGUAAGUCAAGGGUGAAAUCUCUGCUCUCAAGGCAGAAACUGCCUUUGAUACUGCUCGACUCGAGGACAGGAGAGGGAAGUGGAACUCUGGAAGUAGCGGUGAAAUGCGUAGAUAUCCAGAGGAACGCCAGUGGCGAAGGCGGCUUCCUGGUCUGUCCCUGACGCUGAGGCACGAAAGCUAGGGGAGCGAUCGGGAUUAGAGACCCCGGUAGUCCUAGCCGUAAACGAUGGGUACUAAGUGUGGGGGGAGCAUUACUCUCCGUGCUGAAGCUAACGCGUUAAGUACCCCGCCUGGGGAGUACGGUCGCAAGACUGAAACUCAAAAGAAUUGACGGGGGGCUGAACAAGCAGUGGAGCACGUGGUUUAAUUCGACGCAAAGCGAAGAACCUUACCAGGACUUGACAUGCUGGUAGUAGCAACCUGAAAGGGAAGCGAUCUCUAUCUUCGGAUAGGGAAGCCAGCACAGGUGGUGCAUGGCUGUCGUCAGCUCGUGCCGUGAGGUGUUGGGUUAAGUCCCUUAACGAGCGCAACCCUUGCUUCUAGUUGCCAUCGGGUAAUGCCGGGCACUCUAGAGGGACCGCCGCCUUAAAGCGGAGGAAGGUGGGGAUGACGUCAAGUCAUCACGCCCCUUAUGUCCUGGGCUACACACGUGCUACAAUGGUCAUUACAAAGAGAAGCAAAGGAGCGAUCCAGAGCGAAUCUCCAACAGUGGCCCCAGUUCGGAUUGUAGGCUGCAAUUCGCCUGCAUGAAGUAGGAAUUGCUAGUAAUCGCGGAUCAGCUACGCCGCGGUGAAUACGUUCUCAGCCCUU
rnacentral:rRNA from 1 species